AAUUUCUCAAAACAAAACAACAUCUUCUUCUUCUCGAUUAAGUAAAUAUCCAGUUUAUUUAAGUAUUUUACUAAGGGAAAAAUGUCAUUUAAUUCCCCAAUUUUCAAAAAAUGGUCAUUGUAUACAUCAACUUCGUAUGUGGCUGUUUAAAACAUGAACUAAACGUUGACUAACUUUUAAAACAUGAUCAUUCGUUGACCAGACCAAAAUAGACAUGCCGUUAUCAGUCAUUAACGGAACUUCUAACGUCUGUUAUCAUCUGUUAACUUUAUUAGUCAAGUUUCAAAUUGUAGCCAUUUUAAACAUCAACUUCAUAUGUGGCCAUUUAAAACAUGAACUAAACGUUGAUUACCAUUUAAGACAUGAAAAAUCCGUUGACGAGGCCAAAAUAGACAUGUCUUUAUCAGUAGAACCUAGAAACCCGUUAUUACCCGUUAAUGACUGUUAAUCUGUUCAAAACGACGUCGUUUGAGAAUAAUCUAAAGAACAGAAAGAUUUUUUCCAUAUGAAAUCUUCAUAUCAAAAAGUUUUAAGCAGAACCCAAGAACAUAGUUUGAUAUAGAGAUAAUCGUAGUACCAGUAAUCGGAAGCAAAUAAAGGUGUUUUCGUUUAUAUAUUUGUUUUAAAUUUUAAAAGGAAUCAUGGAAGCAAAUUGAAAACCCAUUAUAAGAUUGUUCGUCUUGUUUGGGCGGUUGUAGAAAUAGAUUUGGAGAACUGGAGUUUUCAUUUAGAAAACAAUCCUGAUUUUCUUUUGAUUAUUCUCAAAACAAAGUCGUUUUAGGAAUACUAAUAGAGUCGUUAACAAGUGAUAACGAAUGUUAUAAGUUCUUUUAAUGAAUGAUGACAACAUGUUUAUUUUGGCUUGGUCAACGAAUUUCUCAUGUUUUAAAUGGUAGUCAACGCUUAAUUCAUGUUUAAAAUGGCCACAUAUAAAGUCGAUGUUUAAAAUGACCAUAAUUUAAAACUUGACUAAUAAAGUCGUUAACAGAUGAUAACGGACGUUAGAAGUUCCGUUAAUGACUGAUAACGGCAUGUCUAUUUUGGCCUGGUCAACGAAUGAUCAUGUUGUAAAAGUUAGUCAACGUUUAGUUUAUGUUUUAGACGGCCGCAUACGAAGUUGAUGUAUAAAAUGGCCAUUUUUUGAAAGUUGGGAGAUUAAUUGACAUUUUUCCCAUUUUACUAAUCACACGUUUCCGUUUCAUACAGUAUUCAUUUGUGUAAAAGUUUGUAUGAACGGUUAGUUCCUUCUUCUAUUUAAGAAACCAAAAGAAAAACGAAGACUAUCUUUGCCUAUUGGAAAUGAUUUUGUCAUUUUAAGCUUAGUGUGGAACUUAGCAGAAGGUGAGUUGAACACAAUAAUGUGAUAUAUUCAAGGGAAAUUUGGAAAACUAACCUACAAAAAAACUAUAAUUAAGAAAGUAACACUAACAAAAAAAUGAGAUGAUAUUCUUUAUAUUUUAUAUAUUAAUCACAACUUUACCCUCUUUCCUUCUCUCUCUCUCCUUCUCUCUCCCUUCUCCGCUUGUCUCCCUACUUCUUUUUUUUCUCUCUCCUUCUCUCCCUCUCUCCUUCUCUCUCUUCUUCUCUCUCUCCUCUCCGCCUUUCUCCUUACUUCUUUUUCUCUUUCUCUCCAAAUGACCUCUUUGCUUUUUUUUGUUUUUAGUUACAGUUCAUUAAUUACCUUUUUGUGAGAUUUAUUUAGGUUCUAAGCUUUGUUUUUUCUUUUUUGUCUUUUUUGAAACAUAAUUUUAACAUCAAAAUGCAUUUAUGGUCUGAAACUAAUUUAUCACUUAAUUUUUUUGUUCUUCAUAGUUACAGGCUCACCACAUAUCUACAAUAAAUUAUGGAUCAUUCUUAAAUAUUGAUAAAUUAGGGAUCAUUCUUAGAUCUAGAAGCGAUGAAGGGUUUACGAUGGUAGAAAUUCUAAAGGGAAAUAGCCAAUAAAUCGAUUUUGAUUUUGAAAGAUUUUUGACAGAUAAUAUUCUAUUUUGUAAAUAUACUAUUUACGUAUACCUUGUACUAUAUACGUUUUAAAAUGAAUUGUUUGUUUUGAUUAAGGAUGUUAAGUGAUUUGAUUAGUGUUUUAUAUUAAAAGCUUUGGGUUCCCUAUAUAUUAUCUUAGGGUUUAGUAUUCUUCCAUCAAAAAGUAUUUAAUUGAUUAUUUGGAUUCAUCAGAACAAACGUUUCUAUUUGAACAAAUAUAUACUAUUCUAUUUUCUGUGAUGAUAUGUAUAGAACUUGGUACUACUAUUCACUUUUUAAAAAAUUUGUUUCCGAUUUUUAAAAUUCAAAUCAUGUUAGAUAAACA
rnacentral:sRNA from 1 species